GUAAUAUCCUGCCUGUAGUGUUGACCUUUUUGCAACUCACUUUUUUUUAAAUCUCCAGAUUGCUCAUGCAGAUAAACAUCCUCCCAUUCUGUGAGAAGGUAGAAAGUGAAACCCUUUACCAUCUCUUCCUUCGGUGAUUAAUAAAUAAAUGAACUAUAAAUACAGUGGUUUGAACUUCUCAGAAUAUAAGAGAAAAAUGAGGAAUAAAUCAUCUCCUCACCCAGAGUACCUCUAGCCAAACAACAACAACUCUCCAAAUCUGUUUCAAGAUUCAAGAUUUGAUUUUAAAGCAUAAAAUACACAACCAAAUUCAAAGGAAAGUGAUAAAGACAUCUUCCAGGCCUCCUAAAGGUAUUAUGCAUAUAGGGAAAGGGAAGACUCUAAAAAUUUACUACAUGACUUGAGAUGUACAUCAUGCUUAGCCUGGCAUCUCCAGCUGCUUUUCACUUCUUAGAGACACAAAACUAGAAAUUCAAAGCAAAGAGGUAAAAAGGAAAAAGAGAGGAUGCUAUGGAAAUCAUAGAAUGAGAAAAGCUAAGCUUAGCAUAUCACACAAAAUAUGUUUCCCAUCUUUUGUCUUGAAGAACUGAGCUUGGCAAUAUUUCAAUUCUCACUUUAAUUUUUGAAACUGGAAUUUGACUUUGUUAGUGGAUUUUUCCCUAAGAUUUAGGCAAGUUUUUUUUUUUUUAAUUUAUGUUCUUACAA
rnacentral:lncRNA from 1 species